AAUGGCAAAUGAUGAAUGUUUUCUUAUCCUACACACUGAAUAAUCGUGUUGAUUACUAUACUCCGCUUAUUGUCUGAUGCCAAU